UACAGGGGGUGCAAACGUUGCUCGGAAUUACUGGGCGUAAAGCGCGUGUAGGCGGCUAAGUAAGUCGGGCGUGAAAUCCCACGGCUCAACCGUGGAAGUGCACUCGAAACUGCAUAGCUAGAGUCCUGGAGAGGAAGGUGGAAUGCUUGGUGUAGAGGUGAAAUUCGUAGAUAUUGGGAAGAACACCGGUGGCGAAGGCGGCGACCUGGUCCGUGACUGACGCUGAGGCGCGAAAGCGUGGGGAGCAAACAGG
rnacentral:rRNA from 1 species